GCCUUCGUGGUGUAAUCGGAUAGCACGUCCGGCUAGCAAUCAUAAGGUCUGGUGUUCAAAUCCCUACAAGGGCA
rnacentral:tRNA from 1 species